UACGGAGGGUGCAAGCGUUAUCCGGAUUCACUGGGUUUAAAGGGUGCGUAGGUGGGCAAGUAAGUCAGUGGUGAAAUCUCCGGGCUUAACCCGGAAACUGCCAUUGAUACUAUUUGUCUUGAAUACUGUGGAGGUCAGCGGAAUAUGUCAUGUAGCGGUGAAAUGCGUAGAUAUCUGGAGGAACACCGGAGGCGAAAGCGGUCCACUGGGCAACUUCUGACGUUGAGGUGCGAAAGCUAGGGUAGCAAACGGG
rnacentral:rRNA from 1 species